rnacentral:rRNA from 1 species
ACCUGCGGAGGGAUCAUUACCGAGUGAAGGGUCUGCCUCGCGGCGGCCCCGACCUCCCAACCCUUUGUUUAUCGAACCUCUCGUUGCUUCGGCGGGCCCGUCCCUCACAGGACCGCCGGGGGAAGUCUCGAAAGAGACCCCCCCUGGCCCGCGCCCGUCGAGAGCCUACCUCAAAAAACUCGUGAAUGAAUCGUGUCUAUAAUCUGAGUACCUACGGUCGUUUUACGGCCGCAAAAUUAAAAAGCAAAACUUUCAACAACGGAUCUCUUGGUUCUGGCAUCGAUGAAGAACGCAGCGAAAUGCGAUAAGUAAUGCGAAUUGCAGAAUUUCAGUGAGUCAUCGAAUCUUUGAACGCACAUUGCGCCCUUUGGUAUUCCGAAGGGCAUGCCUGUCCGAGCGUCAUUAUCACCCCUCAAGCCCCGUGCUUGGUGUUGGGCAUCGGGGCGGUUUCCCCCCCUUUCCCUAAAGACAAUGACGGCGGCCUGUGGUUCCCCCGGUACACUGAGCUUCCUCACGGACGGCACGUAUCGGACGAGGGCGCCCGGGUCCCGGCCUCAACCCCCCUAUUUUCUCAAGGUUGACCUCGGAUCAGGUAGGAAUACGCGCUGAACUUAAGCAUAUCAU